GUGUAAAGUACAUGUCAAAAGGACUGACAGCAAAUGUAACACUUUCUUUGUCUUUUUUGGAAAGCCAGAUGCCAAGAAGGAAGUUCAAAAUGAUGGGAAACCUACAAUACCUUUCUGUGCUUAUAGUGGUGGCCAUCUGUUGCUGUGAAGGCAAUAACCAAUUCAGCGACUCUAAAGUCCUGCAUUACGAGUUUGUAAACCAUAAUUGGAUGAA